GUGGGGAAUAUUGGACAAUGGGCGAAAGCCUGAUCCAGCCAUGCCGCGUGAGUGAUGAAGGCCCUAGGGUUGUAAAGCUCUUUCACCGAUGAAGAUAAUGACGGUAGUCGGAGAAGAAGCCCCGGCUAACUUCGUGCCAGCAGCCGCGGUAAUACGAAGGGGGCUAGCGUUGUUCGGAAUUACUGGGCGUAAAGCGCACGUAGGCGGAUAUUUAAGUCAGGGGUGAAAUCCCAGAGCUCAACUCUGGAACUGCCUUUGAUACUGGGUAUCUCGAGUAUGGAAGAGGUGAGUGGAAUUCCGAGUGUAGAGGUGAAAUUCGUAGAUAUUCGGAGGAACACCAGUGGCGAAGGCGGCUCACUGGUCCAUUACUGACGCUGAGGUGCGAAAGCGUGGGGAGCAAACAGGAUUAGAAACCCGGGUAGUCC
rnacentral:rRNA from 1 species